rnacentral:rRNA from 1 species
UACGAAGGGUGCAAGCGUUAAUCGGAAUUACUGGGCGUAAAGCGUGCGUAGGCGGUUUGUUAAGUCUGUUGUGAAAUCCCCGGGCUCAACCUGGGAAUGGCAAUGGAUACUGGCAGGCUAGAGUGUGUCAGAGGAUGGUGGAAUUCCGGGUGUAGCGGUGGAAUGCGUAGAGAUCCGGAAGAACACCGGAGGCGAAGGCGGCUGGCUGGACCUGAUCUGACGCUGAGGUGCGAAAGCGUGGGGAGCGAACAGG